UACAGAGGGGGCAAGCGUUGUCCGGAAUUAUUGGGCGUAAAGAGCGCGUAGGCGGUCCGAUAAGUCGGCUGUGAAAGUCAGGGGCUCAACCCUUGAAAGCCGGCCGAUACUGUCGGACUAGAGUCCGGAAGAGGCGAGUGGAAUUCCCGGUGUAGCGGUGAAAUGCGUAGAUAUCAGGAGGAACACCGGUGGUGUAGACGGCUCUCUGGACCGUAACUGACGCUGAGGCACGAAAGCGUGGGUAGCAAACAGG
rnacentral:rRNA from 1 species